rnacentral:rRNA from 1 species
AUUGAACGCUGGCGGCAGGCCUAACACAUGCAAGUCGAACGAGGGGCGGACGGGUGAGUAAUGUCUGGGAAAGUGCCUGAUGGAGGGGGAUAACUACUGGAAACGGUAGAUAAUACCGCAAACCAUCGGAUGUGCCCAGAGGGGAUUAGCGAGUAGGUGGGGUAACGGCUCACCUAGGCGACGAUCCCUAGCUGGUCUGAGAGGAUGACCAGCCACACUGGAACUGAGACACGGUCCAGACUCCUACGGGAGGCAGCAGUGGGGAAUAUUGCACAAUGGGCGCAAGCCUGAUGCAGCCAUGCCGCGUGUAUGAAGAAGGCCUUCGGGUUGUAAAGUACUUUCAGCGGGGAGGCGUUACCCGCAGAAGAAGCACCGGCUAACUCCGUGCCAGCAGCCGCGGUAAUAC